CUCCUGUUCUGUCUCCUCCCCAAAAUUUCCCUUCAUUAUGAAGAUGACGGAGAUGUCAUACAGGCUCUUGGUGUGGAAAGAUUUGAAGAUAUCUACAGGAUGCUCAUCCUCGAAGCCCAACCGAGCUGGGGAAGAGUUACAGUGAAGAGGACUUCCAAUACCACCGUCAGUCCUCACAUCACAUCCAUCAUCCUCUGUCUUCCCACCUCCCGUCUGAUAUCGCAAACCGAGACCCUCGCAAACACAAGAAAAAGAAGAAGAGGAGGAAAAGAACCUCAGUUCCUGGAGAUACUCCUGGCACCAUUCAAGAACGGGAGGAAGAAGAAGAAGAAGACACUGAGGGAGAGAAAACCCCUGAUGAAGAGCCUGACAAUGGGGACAUGAAGUUCUUCCCAGUGGAGGACAAUGACCCUCAGAAAAGUUCUGGCGUGGUUCUGGCUUCUUCAGUAGAUGUUGGUAGUAAAGAGCAGAAAUUUGACGCACUGAGACAAGAACAGGGAACCAGCACAUCCCCAACUGUAGAGGGGGGAAGCUCUACUCGCCCUAAUCAUCGCAGCCUCCCCAUCGCAGCUAUAGCCUUACUGAGCGCCGUAGAAUUGCAGCAUGACUCACCCUGAAGAUGCCCAUUACCAUCUGGUACCAACUGACGAGACUGAGGCCAAGACCCUUGCAUCAGCUGACUUGGACUACAUGAAGAGUCAUCGUUUUGAGGACCUUCCAGCUGUACGUAGACAUCUAGUUCGAAAGAGGCAAAGGUCAAGUGGUUCACAUUAACAAAGAUCAUAAAGAGAGACACCCACAUCGGAAGAGUGUAACCCUGCAACCACAUGAGGUAUUUGUAGAGCUGAAUGAGUUAGUUAUGGACAAGCACCAGGAACUGCAGUGGAAAGAGACCGCUCGCUGGAUAAAGUUUGAGGAGGACGUUGAAGAGGAGACAGACCAAUGGGAAAGCCACAUGUGGCUUCUCUGAGUUUCCGCAGCCUCCUGGAGCUCCGACGAACGUUGUCA